AAAGUACUCCCUCCGUCCCAAAAUUCUUGUCUUAGAUUUGUCUAGAUACGGAUGNUCCCAAAAUUCUUGUCUUAGAUUUGUCUAGAUACGGAUGUAUCAAGUCACAUUUUAGUAUUAGAUAUAUCCGUAUCUAGACAAAUCUAAGACAAGAAAUUUGGGACAGAGGGAGUAGUUG
rfam:Triticum aestivum genome assembly, contig: Triticum_aestivum_CS42_TGACv1_scaffold_081407_1DS